rnacentral:rRNA from 1 species
UACGUAGGGUGCAAGCGUUGUCCGGAAUUAUUGGGCGUAAAGAGCUCGUAGGCGGUCUGUCGCGUCGGCUGUGAAAACCCCGGGCUUAACCUGGGAAUGGCCGUUGAAACUGGCGAACUGGAGUGUGGCAGAGGGGGGUGGAAUUCCGCGUGUAGCAGUGAAAUGCGUAGAGAUGCGGAGGAACACCGAUGGCGAAGGCAGCCCCCCUGGGCUAACACUGACGCUCAGGCACGAAAGCGUGGGGAGCAAACAGG